CCAAAGGUUUACCGCUAUUAGGAUGGGGAUGCGUCUGAUUAGGUUGUUGGCGGGGUAACGGCCCACCAAGCCCACCGAUCAGUAGGGGUUCUGAGAGGAAGGUCCCCCACCAUUGGAACUGAGACACGGUCCAAACUCCUACGGGAGGCAGCAGUGAGGAAUAUUGGUCAAUGGACGUAAGUCUGAACCAGCCAAGUAGCGUGCAGGAUGACGGCCCUAUGGGUUGUAAACUGCUUUUAUAUGGGGAGUAAAGUGAGGGGACGUGUCCCUUUUGUAGGUACCAUAUGAAUAAGGACCGGCUAAUUCCGUGCC
rnacentral:rRNA from 1 species